AUUGAACGCUGGCGGCAGGCCUAACACAUGCAAGUCGAGCGAGAGGCGGAUGGGUGAGUAAUGUCUGGGAAACUGCCCGUUGGAGGGGGAUAACUACUGGAAACGGUAGCUAAUACCGCAUACCAUCAGAUGUGUCCAGAUGGGAUUAGCUAGUAGGUGGGGUAACGGCUCACGGAGGCGACGCUCCCUAGCUGGUCUGAGAGGAUGACCAGCCACACUGGAACUGAGACACGGUCCAGAAGCCUACGGGAGGCAGCAGUGGGGAAUAUUGCACAAUGGGCGCAAGCCUGAUGCAGCCAUGCCGCGUGUGUGAAGAAGGCCUUCGGGUUGUAAAGCACUUUCAGCGGGGAGGCGUUACCCGCAGAAGAAGCACCGGCUAACUCCGUGCCAGCCGCCGCGGUAAUUC
rnacentral:rRNA from 1 species